AACGCAUAUUGCGCCCUCUGGUAUUCCGGAGGGCAUGCCUGUUCGAGCGUCAUUUCAACCCUCAAGCCCAGCUUGGUGUUGGGAGCUGCAGUCCUGCUGCACUCCCCAAAUACAUUGGCGGUCACGUCGAGCUUCCAUAGCGUAGUAAUUUACAUAUCGUUACUGGUAAUCGUCGCGGCCACGCCGUUAAACCCCAACUUCUGAAUGUUGACCUCGGAUCAGGUAGGGAUACCCGCUGAACUUAA
rnacentral:misc_RNA from 1 species